rnacentral:rRNA from 1 species
GAUGAACGCUGGCGGCGUGCUUAACACAUGCAAGUCGAACGGGAAUUACUUUAUUGAAACUUCGGUCGAUUUAAUUUAAUUCUAGUGGCGGACGGGUGAGUAACGCGUGGGUAACCUGCCUUAUACAGGGGGAUAACAGUCAGAAAUGGCUGCUAAUACCGCAUAAGCGCACAGAGCUGCAUGGCUCAGUGUGAAAAACUCCGGUGGUAUAAGAUGGACCCGCGUUGGAUUAGCUGGUUGGUGGGGUAACGGCCCACCAAGGCGACGAUCCAUAGCCGGCCUGAGAGGGUGAACGGCCACAUUGGGACUGAGACACGGCCCAGACUCCUACGGGAGGCAGCAGUGGGGAAUAUUGCACAAUGGGGGAAACCCUGAUGCAGCGACGCCGCGUGAAGGAAGAAGUAUCUCGGUAUGUAAACUUCUAUCAGCAGGGAAGAUUAUGACGGUAGCAUAUGAAUAAGGAUCGGCUAACUACGUGCCAGCAGCCGCCGUAA